rnacentral:sRNA from 1 species
AUACUCCUUUGUUGUGUUAAGUGUUGGCAAAUUCUGAACCCCGCCCUAGCGGUUCAGAUGUUGAACCCCGAGCCUCCCUCCCCCAUAGAGGUUCGGGGUUUUUUUAUGCCCGCCA